rnacentral:lncRNA from 1 species
AUCAAAUGGUGUGAUUACAUUCAGUUCAAUCCCAACAACCCUGGGAGUUUAAUAAGUCAGAAUUCGAUCAGAACAUAGGGGUUUGUAUUAUUCAAGAUUGAUAACUGAUACAAGUAUGUCGGAGAAGAAAUUGAAUCUCUUUACAAGAAUGAAAAUAUGGUGGUUUCUCAUGAUGAGAGUGAGUCUAUGUAGAAUCAGUGAAAAGUUCUCCUGUUCUCUUGAAGAAGAUCC